AGAGUUUGAUCCUGGCUCAGGACGAACGCUGGCGGCGUGCUUAACACAUGCAAGUCGAGCGAUGAAGUUUCUUCGGAAAUGGAUUAGCGGCGAACGGGUGAGGAACACGUGAAGAAUCUGCCCUCCACUUUGGGAUAACACCGGGAAACCGGUGCUAAUACUGAAUAUUGAAACAUAAGUGGCAUCACUGAGUUUUGAAAGAAUUUCGGUGGAGGAUGACUUCGCGGCCUAUCAGCUAGUUGGUGAGGUAAUGGCUCACCAAGGCAACGACGGGUAGCCGGCCUGAGAGGGCGACCGGCCACACUGGGACUGAGACACGGCCCAGACUCCUACGGGAGGCAGCAGUGGGGAAUAUUGGGCAAUGGAGGAAACUCUGACCCAGCGACGCCGCGUGCGGGAUGAAGGCCUUCGGGUUGUAAACCGCUUUCAGUAGGGAAGAAGCGAAAGUGACGGUACCUACAAAAGAAGCACCGGCUAACUAUGUGCCAGCAGCCGCGGUAAUACAUAGGGUGCAAGCGUUGUCCGGAAUUAUUGGGCGUAAAGAGCUCGUAGGUCGUUUGUUACGUCGGAUGUGAAAACCUGAGGCUCAACCUCAGGCCUGCAUUCGAUACGGGCAAACUAGAGUUUGGUAGGGGAGACUGGAAUUCCUGGUGUAGCGGUGGAAUGCGCAGAUAUCAGGAGGAACACCAAUGGCGAAGGCAGGUCUCUGGGCCAAUACUGACACUGAGGAGCGAAAGUCUGGGGAGCGAACAGGAUUAGAUACCC
rnacentral:rRNA from 1 species